rnacentral:rRNA from 1 species
AGAGUUAGUAAAGUCGUANCAUGUUUCCGUAGGUCACAUGCGGAAGGAUCAUUA